rnacentral:lncRNA from 1 species
GAAUAUGGGUUUGGGGCUACAGAUUCAAGCACAUCUCUACAAACAGCACGUUUGGCAGGGAUAGAUGUUAUUCCUACUACAGAAGCCAGGUUGUAAUUAACCAUUGUAUUUUCUCCAUUUCACGUUUUUUUUUAGGAACUAGAGACAUCUUGGUCUGCAUGAGGGCUACAGGAGGGCUUUGUUGAAAUGGAUGCAGCUGACAUCUAUGGUGAAUAGCACCCUGAAGUGAACAUGCAGGCUCAUUUUCAUUCAUUUGUAUCUUAACACUGGUGUAUCUUCUGCAUCUAUAAUGACCAGUUAUGAACAUAAUUAAAUAGUAUAUGAUUAGAAGUAUAUUAAAGAAUAUUGAAGUUCAAAACCUCCAAAGCAGGAACAUUAUUUAGCUGAGUGACACACCAGCUAAGAGAUGAUGAAACCGCGUGACUGGGCCACCCGAAUACACGUCUGACCUCCAACCACUGCGAAUGCGCGUGCAGGAUCCACUCCAGGGUUCCCCACUAAUUCCAUGAUUUCGUUUCCAUGCAAGAUACAUAGUAUAUAUUCCAAAAAAGAAAAAGACACACCUGUUGCCUUGGAAGAUUCUUUCUCUAACUGCACUAAGUAGGGAUGCCUGUGUGUGUGAAACACAGGCCCCUCUGCUUUCUGUCUGGGCCAUUUGGCUCAGCUCACGCUAAAGUUCAUUCCUUGCCAGCCAGACGGUGUCCUAACCUACCACCUCACAGGAGGCUCAAUCUCAGACAGUGAUGACACAUAAAACAAGCUUGUGACUGCUGCUGGUUGCCCUAGAAAUCAGCUCGAGGCCUCCUGAAGGAUCAACAGGAGGUAGCUGAAAGUCUGAAAGGGGGCCAGAAACUUGAAUGGCUGCAAGACAGGACUUUGCAGAAAUAGAGAAUGAGCGCUUAGAGCUGGCAGAGCGGCUGAGGAGGGCAGAGGCUGCAAGGAAGAAAGUGAAGGGCUGAGAUGUUGUUUGUAAAGGUGGCGAUGGAUAGGGCGAUGGCUGAAACAGAAGACCCCAGAGAUAAAAAGCAAGGGGACCCGGGAUCAGCAGAAGUAACCAAAGGUGCUCUGAGGAGAGGGUGCAGUGGGGGGCUGUGGAAGAGUCAGCCGGCAGUGCAGACCCCACCCUCGCACCCUCCUUUGGUGACAGACUCCGAAUGGUUGGAUCUGAGUGCAGAAGAACAAUUGGCCUGGGCCAAAAACACUCAAGACCCUCAGAUUGCAGUAGGUUCACAGUCCCCAUUAGAAAAGAAGAUUAAGGUGAGGAAAUAUACUUACUAUGAGCUUUGAAGCCAGUAAUAGAAUCAUAAGUUUAUCAUGGAGGUUAAAAAAAAG